rnacentral:rRNA from 1 species
GAUGAACGCUGGCGGCGUGCCUAAUACAUGCAAGUCGAGCGAACAGACGAGGAGCUUGCUCCUCUGACGUUAGCGGCGGACGGGUGAGUAACACGUGGAUAACCUACCUAUAAGACUGGGAUAACUUCGGGAAACCGGAGCUAAUACCGGAUAAUAUAUUGAACCGCAUGGUUCAAUAGUGAAAGACGGUUUUGCUGUCACUUAUAGAUGGAUCCGCGCCGCAUUAGCUAGUUGGUAAGGUAACGGCUUACCAAGGCAACGAUGCGUAGCCGACCUGAGAGGGCGAUCGGCCACACUGGGACUGUGACACGGUACAGACUCAUACGGGAGGCAGCAGUAGGGAAUCUUCCGCAAUGGGCGAAAGCCUGACGGAGCAACGCCGCGUGAGUGAGGAAGGUCGUCGGAUCGUAAAACUCUGUUAUUAGGUAAGAACAAAUGUGUAAGUAACUAUGAGCGUCUUGACGGUACCUGAUCAGAAAGCCACGGCUAACUACGUG